rnacentral:rRNA from 1 species
GUGAAUUGCAAAAUUCAGUGAAUCAUCGAAUCUUUGAACGCACCUUGCGCUCCUUGGUAUUCCGAGGAGCAUGCCUGUUUGAGUGUCA